AAUAGAUACCCUGGUAGUCCACGCCGUAAACGAUGAGUGCUAAGUGUUAGGGGGUUUCCACCCCUUAGUGCUGCAGCUAACGCAUUAAGCACUCCGCCUGGGGAGUACGGUCGCAAGACUGAAACUCAAAGGAAUUGACGGGGGCCCGCACAAGCGGUGGAGCAUGUGGUUUAAUUCGAAGCAACGCGAAGAACCUUACCAGGUCUUGACAUCCCGCUGACCGCUAUGGAGACAUAGCCUUCCCUUCGGGGACAGCGGUGACAGGUGGUGCAUGGUUGUCGUCAGCUCGUGUCGUGAGAUGUUGGGUUAAGUCCCGCAACGAGCGCAACCCUUGUCCUUAGUUGCCAUCAUUCAGUUGGGCACUCUAAGGAGACUGCCGUACAAAUACGGAGGAAGGUGGGGAUGACGUCAAAUCAUCAUGCCCCUUAUGACCUGGGCUACACACGUGCUACAAUGGACGGUACAAACGGUCGCGAAGUCGCGAGACGGAGCCAAUCCGAAAAAACCGUUCUCAGUUCGGAUUGCAGGCUGC
rnacentral:rRNA from 1 species